CAGUUUUAUUGCUCUUAUGCUGUAUUUUCAGUUCUAUAAACAUAAGUAUGUGAGAGUGAGAUGAGAAAAGCAUUACAUACUGGAUUCAGCUGAACUGCAGGAGAGUAGCUGAACGCACACAGUUUCAUGCCAAAAAUUCAUAUAGGAUUUGCCUAAGGGCUUAUGAUUAAUAAAAGCUUCUCAAAAGUGUAAUGCUGAAAUGACUUCACUGAAAAACUGGUCAUAAUUCCUUUAAGCUAAGUCAAGCCAGGUAUCAUAUGCAUAUAAAAUCUGUAAUUUUCAAAUAAAAUCUGUUGUUACCUUUCAGUAUUUUUCUGUGGUCUGGGCAGUCAAAUGUAAAGAACAGUAGGGAUAGAUGUGCCUUCUCAGGAGCUGUUACUACUUCCAAUCUCAACUAAAUGCCCACAGGAUACUUAUUCCAGAUUUCUAUCUUUGUAGGACAACAGGAAUGGUACUGUUUGCAGACAGAACAGAGUGAAUGAUCAAGGGCGACACAGAAAGCACUUGCUCCUGAAUCGAAAUUACAAUAGCCAGAUGACACAAAAUACGAAGCUGUCACAAUCUCACACUGUUGUUUUGAACUAGUGAAAAAAAUAUUGAGCUAAGUUUCCUUUGGCAGACUGUAUGCUGAAUCAGGCGUACAGUUUUCAUGAAACAUAAUGCUGGCAUAAACACGUGUCGUGUCAUAUGUCAUAAACAUAUGUCAGUUUACUCACAGGUAAUCUUUUAAGGAUAAACCCCUAUUCCCAGCUGCACAUGGAAAUCUAAGGAGAGAACGCAGUGAAGAAAAAAAAAGCAUUUUUUAUCUCAAUCCGCAUCCAUACUUGGCAGUCUUUUCUAUCUGAGUUAUCAGCAGUUAUAAUGCCCAUAAGAUACUCAUGCCAACAAAAGACCAGAUAAAGAGGGUCAGGCCAGAAGUCCGGCACUCCCCAAUGUCCUGUCAUCAAUGAAUACCCUCAGUUAUGACUCCCCCAGCCUGUACUUUCCCUUCCACUUUUUAUUUACAUUCUUCCCAUUAAGUCACAGAAUCUCUCAUCGAGUUCCUCUGAGAGUUGAGUCCAGCUAGCACUGGUUGGCCAGACUGCAUGGGCAAGGGCAAAGCCAGAAGGAAGAUGAAAAGGGAGGAUCCUGGCUGCUGUGGGUGCUGCUUCAUCCCUCAACAUACCUUUGUCUGGCAGGACACACCUUGGGGUAGCAUGCAUUCCUUCCUUGGACAGCUUCAGCAAACAGCAGACGUUGAGGUUCCUCUGCCCUGUGCCCCCUUCCACAGCCUGCUAGUUUCUUUUUGAUGCCUGGGGAAGAAAAGGAACAGCACAAGCUUUUCCCUAUGAGUCUCCCACCCUCCAACUGUUCUCAGCUUGGUGGAUUUCCGUAUUCUGUUUCUAUUACCGCUUUGUUCUCUUCCCCUCAGCUUCCUAAAUUAAGUACAUUGCUGAGAUCUUUCCUGGAAAAAAAAAAAAACAAACGUUGCUACGCUUUGUUCUGAUGAAAAAUUUACAUCAAUUUGAUGCAUUAAUACUUUUCCAAUCACAACACAGAAGAGCUGCCUUUCAGGAAACACAUUUAAGUUGUGUUUCUUUCAGCAUGGCUGGGAGCUGAGCACACACUGAAGUGUGUUGGCACCGACCUCUCCUAUAAAGCCAGAUACAGACUUGAGCUCCUAAACGGGUAGGUUUGGAUCAGUGAGGAGGAUGGUGGAAAGUCCCAGAGGAGAAGGCUGGGCUCAUUCAUUAGCCUAGCACGGGCAGUACCAAGUGUGGAAUUCAAAUGGUGCUUUCCUAGUCCUGAGUCCAGUAUCUGGAACCAUCCAGACUCAUAUUUGUAGUACUGAAUGAAGAGCAUGGCAAAACAGCAUGGUAAGAAUAAAAAGUCCUGUCCAUAUGUGACGGCAUUAACCAGUGCUGGAAUUCAGAGCAAAACAAUCUCUUGGGAAUGAGUAGUAUCAUUUAAAAGGAAAGAGUAGGCAGAAGUUUCCUCACGUCCAGGAAGUGUAGUGGGCAAACAGGGCACUGUGAGGACAAAGUGCCAGCCAGACAUACAUGGUGUUUGUGCCUGCCAGUGUCCCAGCCUCCAGCUGCUUUCAGCCUGGGGACUUCCUGCACCGUGUGGCUUGUUUAGAUCCAACCUGCAAUGGAUCACUUCUCUUGAAACUGUUUGAAGACACCUCUAAGUCAAGGCAGCAAAUUACAUUCCUGGUCUGGAUGCGACGCAUUCUGGCAACACUGUGCUCCUGCUUUAAACAGCUUCUCCUGCCCUCCAAACUGCUUUCAUGUGAAACACGGACGACACGAUUUAUGACAGACCUGACCAGCACAGCAAGACUGGCAAAAGCCGAAAGCACACGUGUAGCCUGAUGCACCUCUAUUGUAUGUACUUUCUGCCCAAAACAAAGCGACUUUAUCGCGUUUGCUUUCUAACACUGCGUUUGUGGUGCAUUUUCUUCUUCCACAACCGAGUAGGAAAACAGAUGUCUGGAACCCUUACGAUUACAGCACGAGCUGCUGGGUUUUGAUCAGCAAACUCGUUCGCAAACUGAACGACUUCAGCCUGAAACGUACUCAUCUUGCUGCAGACACCCAGCGCCACGUCUGUUCGUGCUUCCAGGGACCUUCAAGGCCGAAGACGGAGGAAAUGCCUGAAUUUCCCCCGGCCCCUCCUCGCCUCUCGCCUGCCUUGGCAGCCAAUCCUCGCCUGGGGAGGGGGGGCGCUGGAGACAGCCCCAACCCAGCGUUUGUUUUAACAAACAUUUCUCACUGCCUAUGAGGAAACAUGCUGCUGCCCAGCGCUCGGGGAGGGUGGGAUUUCCUUCCUAUUGUCUGCCUGGCUCAGCCCGCACUGCUUCGGAGCAGAGUUGUGCAUUAACUGUUUCGAGCUCUGGGUUCUUUUUCCUGUUGGAAAGUUAAUGGCCAAAAGAGGUCUGUAAAGCAC
ensembl:lncRNA